UNCAAUAGCAGGAACUACUUGUCUGGGAUA
rnacentral:piRNA from 1 species